AACGAACGCUGGCGGCAGGCUUAACACAUGCAAGUCGAACGCAUCGCAAGAUGAGUGGCAGACGGGUGAGUAACGCGUGGGAACAUACCCUUUUCUACGGAAUAGCUCUGGGAAACUGGAAUUAAUACCGUAUACGCCCUACGGGGGAAAGAUUUAUCGGGGAAGGAUUGGCCCGCGUUGGAUUAGCUAGGUGGUGGGGUAAAGGCCUACCAAGGCGACGAUCCAUAGCUGGUCUGAGAGGAUGAUCAGCCACAUUGGGACUGAGACACGGCCCAAACUCCUACGGGGGGCAGCAGUGGGGAAUAUUGGACAAUGGGCGCAAGCCUGAUCCAGCCAUGCCGCGUGAGUGAUGAAGGCCUUAGGGUUGUAAAGCUCUUUCACCGAUGAAGAUAAUGACGGUAGUCGGAGAAGAAGCCCCGGCUAACUUCGUGCCAGCCGCCGCGGUAAGAC
rnacentral:rRNA from 1 species